UUGUGAUGCAUAGUGAUUUAUUUCACGAAUUUUGUGAUUCCAUGCUUCCAAGAAAAGUUUCUAAGCGUUAUAAAAUUAUAGGUACCUGUACCGAGAACGGACACACGUUCCCAAGAUGAGUAUUCUAAGGCGAGCGAGAAAACCAAUGUUAAGGAACUCUGCAAAUUGACCCCGUAAGUUCGCGAGAAGGGGCGCCCAUUUUGAUGGGCCACAGUAAAUUUUGAGGGGCAACUGUUUAUCAAAAACACAGCUCUCUGCUAAACCGCAAGGUGAUGUAUAGGGGGUGAAGCCUGCCCAGUGCCCGAAGGUUAAAUGGAUGCGUUAGCUUAUGCGAAGCGUUGAAAUGAAGCCCGGGUGAACGGCGGCCGUAACUAUAACGG
rnacentral:rRNA from 1 species